CUAUCAGGGAUCCGCAGGUCACAAGCACGUGAGGCGAGCUCUCUAGCACUGAGUUACAUCCCCAGACUUCCUUUCAUUUUGAGAGAGUGUCCUGCUAAGUCGCUCUGGAUGUCCUCAAACUAAGGAUCCUAAGAAGAAUGAGUGGACCGAAGGGUAUGAAUCUCCAGGACUCUUGGUGCCCACGGAGAAAUCCUUUUCUCUACCCCACCGACAACCUGCCUUUUUCAAAGACAAAAGAGGGAGGAGGAGGAGGAGGAAGAGGAGGAAAAGGAGGAAGGGGAGAGAAGAAAAGGAAGGAGGAGGAGGGAGGGGAGCACGAGCUGGCAAAGCCAUCGGGUUCUCGCGAUGCUGGUCGGGAGGCCUCCCCUGAGGUUCGCUGCUCCUCUUUCCUUCUCUAUUAAAGUUUGUGUCUGAGUUGGACCUUUAGGGGUCAAGGAUCGGAGUCAGGAAUCUCAAAGAACGGAGGAUCUUUUGUGACGGUUUAUAUGGAAAGAAUAGGAAGAGUGGCACCAGCCCCUGCCUGGCUUUGGUGACCCAGAAGGACCUGGCGGGAACUGGCCUUGAGUUCCUUAGCAGAAGCAACUUGUUGUCCCUGGCACCAGCAGCUUGCACACCUGCUCACUUCUGUCCCUGCUCCCUGAUUGUGCCACAGACCAACCACCCCGGCCUUCCUGGGAAGAGCCGCCCAGCCCACCACGUCACAGGGGUCACCUGAACAGAAGCCAGGUGUCUGCACGAACAGGUUUAUGAACCAACAGGCGCCAGACAGUACGGCUGCCGCUGAACAAAACCUGACCUGGAAAAGUGGGUUUGAGCACUUUGUGGAGCUUUUCUUUGCACGGCGUGGAAUGGACAGGAGUGCAGCAGACCCCGAGCCUUCUGCCCACAUGUGCUUCCUCCCAGAGGGAAGCAGCUGGCAGAGGAGGAGGCACACGUGACCAGUGGAAGUCUCCGGAGAGCAGGAUUGAUGCUGGGCUAACCACACCCAACCAAGAGGAGCAGCAAGAACUGGCCUUCAGCCAAUCAUCAGAAAGUAUUGCUAAUGGCUGUUGGUGACGCUCAGUGACAGAGCAUGCACUUAGCAUGUGCUUGGGUUCCAUCCCAGGCACAGAGAAAAAGGAAAAAGAAAAAAAGUAUGUAUAUACACAAGGUAACAGUGGAUCAUGAUUUGACGUUUGACAUGUAAGGGUGCAAAAAAUUGUAUGGCGCUGCUGUAAAGAAGCUUCUGUUCCGCCAGGCGCAGUGGUGCAUGACUGUGAUCCCAGCAGCUCCGGAGGCUGAGGCAGGAGGAUCGCGAGUUCAAAGCCAGCCUCAGCAAAAGCAAGGUGCUAAGCAACUCAGUGAGACCCUGUCUCUAAAUAAAAUGCAAAAUAGGGAUGUGGCUCAGAGGGUGAGUGCCCCUGAGUUCAGUCUGCCAUACCCCCCCAAAAUACCUUCUGUUCCCUUCAACUUAUCUGUGUGAAAAAACACUUCUCACCACCACAUCACAAUAACAAUAACAAAAGGAGAAGCAGAACUGGUGUAAUAAUGCACCUUAUUCCAGCACACAGACUCAUAAACUGAUUGGAAAAUAAAAACUUCAUUCACCUCAUUAAGAGCUGCAGGACCAAAACAAAAAAUAAACCCCAAAGACACCCUGCAGGACCCAUAAAAACUUACUAUUACAAUUAUUUAUUAAAAUCUGUCACAUAUUUAUAUGAUUUAAUCAAAUAUAUUACUAACAUGGGAUACUGUAUACUAAUAUACUAAAUACUAAUAUGUUAACCAAAUGUAUUACUAAUAUGUUACUAAUAAUGGCAGUGAAAAUUCUAACCAAAGAAACUUUUCAGCAUUUAGAGACCUCUGAUCAUAGGAUACCAUUUCCUUAAAUUACAAAUUAUAACAUUCAAACAGGUAUAUGUUAUUUAUUUAUUUAUUUUUGGCGAUGCUUGGUUGAACCCAGGAGUGCUCUACCACAGGGCUACAUCCCCUAGUCCUUUUUAUUUUUUUUCCUUUUGAGUCAGGGCCUCACUAAGUUGCUGAGGCUAGCCUUGAACUCAUGAUCCUCCUGCCUCAGCCUCCCAAGCCAUUGGGAUUAUGUGCCACCAGGCCUGGCUUAGAAACAUAUUUUGUUGCUAAAAGUAUGAUGGGGAUAAUUCAUAAGACUUUCGAAUGCAAUGUAAAAUUAGGGUAAAAUUUUAUGAGGGAGGUGGAUGGAAAGACAGGUUUAUGAAAAAAAGGGAGAUGGUUAAAGAAUUUAGAUAGUUUUAAAUGGUGGGAAUUAAAUUGCUAUGCAUCUAGAUUUCACUGAACACAUAUCCAAGGGUAACAAAAUAGUUAUUUUAAAAUAUUAAUAUUUAUACCAACCUUCCAGUUGCAUUCUUUGUGGCUAUUUAAAUUUGUGAGGAAAACUUUUAGGUGGGAAAUUGAAAAUUGUUGAGAUACAAAGUUGCCCCAAACUCUGAACAUGGUAUUUCCACCACUUCCAGAUCAUUCUGACUUUAGGGCUCUCUCUGCUGGUGAGAUUCAGAACUAAAGAAGCAUUCGUAGGAUUAGUAGUUCCCAGUUCUACAAGGCAAACCCUUGCCGGUGUUUCCUGGGACCUUUGCUACAUGACCUGAGCUGAGUAGGAUUCGGCAGAGGCGAAUAGUGCACAUCACACCACACCCUACCUCCAUGGUGGCUUCCACAAGUCCAGAACCAGAGGGGGGAGAGGACAGGACAGCUGGUCUGUAAUCCCAGGUUCCUGGGGGAUGGGAUGAGGCUGAGGCAGGGGGAUCACAAGUUCAAGGCCAGCCUUGGCAACUUAGCAAGAUCCUGUCUCAAAAGAAGAAAUAAGAAGGGCUGUGGUAUGUAGUUCCGUGGUAGAGUACCCCGGGUCCAAUCCCCAGUACUAGAAAGAGAACAGGACACAGCAGUCCGAGCCAGACCCUUGCUGACCGUUCAUUAGUCUGAUAAGUGUCUACUCAGCAGCUACUAUGUGCUGGCAUGAGCUCCGUGAUCUGCUGCUAGGCUGCCACCCAUUAGUAAAACGUUCUGUAAAAAGCUUAAAGAAGUUCUUAAAAGAAGAAUCAACAGUAACUAAUAAUCACAGGAAUUCACGCAAAAGCCAAAAUGACCCAUGCACAUUUAAAAGAUUCUCAUGCCCCCUAGUAAUGAAAGAGACACAAAUUAACAAUGAUAAAUCAUUUGCCUGCUAUUAACUUGGCAUAGGUUUAAUAUCUGAUAAUAUCCAAGGUUGACGAGGCUUGGGGGAACUGGGAAAUACACAUCUUCACACUCAGUUGGUGAGGUAUAAAGUGUUGCUGUAAUCUUAAAUGAAAACUAUUUUCAAAACAUUUAAGUUCCUGCUUUUAAUUCCCCCUUGGGGUACCUAUUGUCAGGCCCCUGACCUUGGGCCUGCUGACCCUGAUUGUCA
rnacentral:lncRNA from 1 species